rnacentral:rRNA from 1 species
AGUGAACGCUGGCGGUAGGCCUAACACAUGCAAGUCGAACGGCAGCACAGUAAGAGCUUGCUCUUACGGGUGGCGAGUGGCGGACGGGUGAGGAAUACAUCGGAAUCUACUUUUUCGUGGGGGAGAACGUAGGGAAACUUACGCUAAUACCGCAUACGACCUACGGGUGAAAGCAGGGGAUCUUCGGACCUUGCGCGAUUGAAUGAGCCGAGGCCGGAUUAGCUAGUUGGCGGGGUAAAGGACCACCAAGGCGACGAUCCGUAGCUGGUCUGAGAGGAUGAUCGGCCACACUGGAACUGAGACACGGUCCAGACUCCUACGGGAGGCAGCAGUGGGGAAUAUUGGGCAAUGGGCGCAAGCCUGAUCCAGCCAUACCGAGUGGGUGAAGAAGGCCUUCGGGUUGUAAAGCCCUUUUGUUGGGAAAGAAAAGCAGCAGGUUAAUACCCCGCUGUUCUGACGGUACCUAAAGAAUAAGCACCGGCUAACUUCGUG